AUGGAGGAGGAGGGCGCGAGGAAGGCGGUGCUCUUCCGGCUGUUCGGCGUCGAGGUCCGCGGCGCGGAGGAGGAGGAUGACGCGGAGCCCAUGGAGCUCAAGAAGAGCACCAGCAUGCCCAACCUCGCCUGCGCCUCCAACAGCCCGCCGCUUCUCCUGCCCGGCGAGGCCAGCCACGACAAGGGCUACGCCUCCGACGACGGCGAGCUGGCGUCCACGCCGCAGCUCAAGCGCUGCCGCCGCAAGGCCCAGGAGCGCAAGAAAGGGAUUCCGUGGACCGAGGAGGAGCACAGGAAGUUCCUGGAGGGUCUGAAGCAGCUGGGCAAGGGGGACUGGAGAGGCAUCUCCAAGAACUUCGUCACCACCAGGACGGCCACGCAGGUGGCUAGCCACGCCCAGAAGUACUUCCUCCGGCAGACCAACCCCGGCAAGAAGAAGCGCCGGGCCAGCCUCUUCGACGUCGGCAUCCCCGCUGCCCACAGCUACGACGAUCAGCUGCCAAGUCCUCAGAGCGUUGGAACCAAGCUUGCUCCUGCUGAGAAGAUACUCCACACAGACCGCGGCGACGUGCCGCUACCAAGUUAUCCUGGAGGCAUCAGGGGCAGCAACAACAACAUGCAGAUGCAGGCUGAUGAGCUAACUGACCGUGUGAAGAAGAGAUCAAAGUUCCCCACCGGGACGUCGCUGGCCGCCAUGGCUGCCUCCGGGCUGGAGCUGGCAAUGUCUUCGUCUGCCAGCAGCAUCCUGGAGCUCAGCAUCGCGCCUCCUCGCUGCUACGGCGCGGUCGACGCCAUCAAGGUGCUGUGA
rnacentral:rRNA from 1 species